ACACCUUCGUGUCAUCUCCUCGUACAACUUCAUCGCCUCCGAAAACUUCCCUUCUUUCACAAACACAUCGAUCACCGCAGUGAAAGUAAUGACAUUAGGAACAAUAUCCCUCAUUACCAUAUCUCUCAUUAGCCGAGCUGCAUCACUCCAUCUACCAGAACAACAAAGACCGGCCACAAGAGAGUUAUAAGUAACAGCAUCAGCUCUAACCCCAUCUCUUUCCAUCCGAUCAAACAGCUCCACCGCGUCAUUCACCAACCCGAUCUUACAAGAACCGUCGAUGAUCGUGUUGUAG